rnacentral:rRNA from 1 species
CGAACGACUCUCGGCAACGGAUAUCUCGGCUCUCGCAUCGAUGAAGAACGUAGCGAAAUGCGAUACUUGGUGUGAAUUGCAGAAUCCCGUGAACCAUCGAGUCUUUGAACGCAAGUUGCGCCCGAGGCCACCAGGUCGAGGGCACGUCUGCCUGGGCGUCACGC